AUUGAACGCUGGCGGCAUGCCUAACACAUGCAAGUCGAGCGGAUGAAGGGAGCUUUCUCCUGGAUUCAGCGGCGGACGGGUGGGUGAUGCCUAGGAAUCUGCCUUGUAUUUGGGGAUAACGUCCGUAAACGGGCGCUAAUACCGCAUACGUCCUGAUGGAGAAAGUGGGGGAUCUUCGGACCUCACGCUUUCUGAUUAGCCUAGGUCGGAUUAGCUAGUUGGUUGGGUAAAGGCCUACCAAGGCGACGAUCCGUAACUGGUCUGAGAGGAUGAUCAGUCACACUGGAACUGAGACACGGUCCAGACUCCUACGGGAGGCAGCAGUGGGGAAUAUUGGACAAUGGGCGAAAGCCUGAUCCAGCAAUGCCGCGUGUGUGAAGAAGGUCUUCGGAUUGUAAAGCACUUUAAGUUGGGAGGAAGGGCAGUAAGUUAAUACCUUGCUGUUUUGACGUUACCAACAGAAUAAGCACCGGCUAACUUCGUG
rnacentral:rRNA from 1 species